rnacentral:rRNA from 1 species
CACGUAGGGUGCGAGCGUUGUCCGGAAUUAUUGGGCGUAAAGAGCUCGUAGGCGGUCUGUCGCGUCGGUCGUGAAAACUUGGGGCUUAACCCCGGGCGUGCAGUGGAUACGGGCUGGCUGGAGGCAGGCAGGGGAGAACGGAAUUCCCGGUGUAGCGGUGAAAUGCGCAGAUAUCGGGAGGAACACCGGUGGCGAAGGCGGUUCUCUGGGCCUGUUCUGACGCUGAGGAGCGAAAGCGUGGGGAGCAAACAGG